UACGUAGGUGGCGAGCGUUGUCCGGAUUUACUGGGCGUAAAGGGAGCGUAGGCGGACUUUUAAGUGAGAUGUGAAAUACCCGGGCUCAACUUGGGUGCUGCAUUUCAAACUGGAAGUCUAGAGCGCAGGAGAGGAGAAUGGAAUUCCUAGUGUAGCGGUGAAAUGCGUAGAGAUUAGGAAGAACACCAGUGGCGAAGGCGAUUCUCUGGACUGUAACUGACGCUGAGGCUCGAAAGCGUGGGGAGCAAACAGGAUUAGAUACUCGGGUA
rnacentral:rRNA from 1 species